rnacentral:lncRNA from 1 species
AUGAGUGGACAUAUCCGAUGCUAAAUAGAUAUAGUUUCGGAUAUGAAUAUCAAAAACGAAAAUAUAAUAGAUUUGGAUUUGAAUAUGAAUUUUGAUUGUUCCUGAUCGGAAUUCGAACCCAAUCCGAACCCGAACUGAUUUUACAUUAUAUAAUUUAUACAUAAAUGUUUGAUGUUAUAUUUGAAUUUAUAUUUUAAAAAAUAUAAAUUUAAUCUAAUAUAUUUUUAAAUAUUGUAAAGAGAAAAAUUGUUUAAGUUCGGAUUUCAAAAUUAAUAGUCAAAUUCGAAUUCAAAUUUUUAAAGAUCUGCUCUCAAUCUGACCCGUUAACAUCCUACCAAACAAACAUCUUCACCACAAUUUGCUCGCUGUCACACCCCGCAUUAUACGUUCCCCGGGCACGCCGACAAAUCCACUGUAUACAAAAGAAUUUUCUCUGUAUACGAAGCGAUAGCUGUACCUAUAAAACAUACAAUACUACAAACAGUAGUAUAGAUACUACAAACAGUAGUAUAGAGCUGCCAGAAGAACCAGUAACUAAAAACAAACUGAGUUUCAUAUACAUACGUCAAAACCAAGAUACAAAACUACUCGCACUGGCGAAUUAAACAUCUGUAUGUACAUGAACUCCAGCCAAAAACAACUACCUGCUGUAGGGGCACCUCUA